rnacentral:lncRNA from 1 species
UUAGCUAAAGUACACAAAAUUAUGAAUAAGAAUCAGAAAAUAUAGUUCUAUAUUUAAUUGGAUUCUGCAGUACAAAAGGAAAUGAAAUAACAAGCAGCCUUUCAAGAGGGCUGUAUGCCUUAGUCUUUCUACACUCAACAGAUUUCUUGCCUCUCUCUCUCUCUUCCUCCCGUUCCCUACUUAUAUUCUUUUAUUUUAUAACUACCUUUUUCUUCUUUUCCUAUUCUACCCCUCCAACAGAAUUUGUUAUGGCUUCUUCCUUUCUCUCGAUUUCUUAAAUCUUCUUAAAUAAGUAUACUGGAUUGGGGGUCUAUCAAUUACCCCCCCCCCCCCCCCCAAAUUCAAACACCUUGUCCUCAAGGUGGAAGGGAGGAAAUUGUUGAUUAAUGAGAUGAAAUGGUUCCCAAGUAGCUUCCACGGUAGGUAACCCUUUCCACUUGAUCAAGACUUCCAAGUUUUCUGAUAUCUCCCAUGUCUCAUUCUGGAUUCCCAACGUCACUUUAGGUUCCCAAAUUCAGAGGUAACCAUGUGGUUAAGUGAUGUUGUCCCACUACUUUUCACAAUUGUGAUACAUGGAAUACUGGAUGGAUUUGUAUCCCUGGUGGUAGGUCCAACUGAUAAGUAACUUUUCCCACUUUAUCCAACACCUUGAAGGGUUCAUAGUAUCUGGGGGCCAGUUUUUCAUUGGGACGAUGUGCCAAGGAUUUACAACGAUAAGGACGCAUCUUUAAGUAAACCAUGUCCCCUGUAAUAAACUCUACUGUACUUCUAUGUUUGUCAGCCACCUUUUCCAUCUAUUGUUGAGCUCGAUGCAAAUGGACCUUGAGCUCCUCUAGUACCUUGUCCUUUUCAGCCAGUUGUUGGUCCAACAAAGGGACCACUAUAGUUCCCUUUUCGAAACGCAUUAGGGAAGGGGGAUCACGCCCGUAUACAAUUCGAAAAGGGGUGAAUUGAGUGGAUACAUGAAAGGAAGUGUUGUAAGAGAGUUCAGCCCAAGGUACGUAGCACACCCAAUCCUUUGGUCUUACUGAAGUAAAGCAACACAGGUAGGUCUCCACUCCUCGAUUGAGCACCUUGGUUUGCCCAUUAUUUUGUGGAUGAUAGGCCGAGCUACACUUUAACUUGGUUCCGUGGAAUCGGAAUAGCUAAGUCCAAAACUUGCUGAGAAAUACUUUAUCUCUAUCUGAAACUAUUGACUGGGGAAUCCCAUGCAAUCGUACUACUUUUCUCAUAAAAACAGUUGCAAUGGAAGGGGCCAUGAAAGGAUGCUUGAGACUUAUAAAAUGAGCAUACUUACUUAAGCGAUCAACAACCACCAAAAUCGAAUCAAACCCUUCUGACUUCAGCAAUCCUUCUAUGAAAUCCAUAGAGAUGUCUUCCCAUACCUUCUCGGGGACCAGAAGAGAUUGCAUCAACCCUGCAGGUGCAAGAGUGGAAUAUUUAUGCUGCUGGCAAGUUGUACAGGUGGUCACAUAUGAGCGAAUAUCCUUCUUCAUGCCCACCCAAUAAAAUGUCUUCGCUAUUCUCUUGUAAGUUUUCAGGAAACCUCCAUAUCCCCCAAUCUUACUGUCGUAUCCUUCUUGUAAUGCCAUUAAUAUGAAAGGGGAGUCCUUGGGUAAAGAGAUCCAAUCCUUAUACAGCAAAGCCCCACACACCAAGGUAUAUCCCGGAUAGGCUGAGGAAUCUGUCUUUAAUGUUGCCAUAAUUUUUCCCAGUUCUUGAUCUGCCUUUACUGCUUCUAUUACUUCUUCUAUUCGAAUUGUACUUGGUACAGUCAUUAAGGUGGCUGCUAACCUCUUUUGAGAUAGAGCGUUCACCGCCUUAUUCUCCAAUCUUGGUUUGUACUCAAUCUCAAAGUCAAAACCCACUAACUUUGUUAGCCAUUUUUGAUAUACGACACUCACUAGCCUUUGUUCGAGCAGAAACUUUAGGUUUUUUUAUCUGUCCUCACGAUGAAUCACCUUCCCAACAAAUAGUGUCUCUAUUUCUGUACCGCCAGCACAAUAGCCAUUAGUUCCCUUUCAUAAAUCGACUUAUUUUGGACUCUUGGUGGAAGAACCUGACUGAAGUAAGCUAUAGGCCUCAUGUUUUGCAUUAAAACAGCUCCUAAUCCAUGUUCAGAAGCAUCAGUUUCAAUCACAAAGGGUUGCAAGAAAUUGGUAAGAUCUAAGACUGGCAUUGUUAUCACUGCUUUCUUUAUUUCUAGGAAUGCUACUUCAGUUGCAUCGUUCCAUCCAAAACUAUCUUUUUUAAGUUGCUGAGUCGAAGGCCAUGUAAUUUUCCCGUAGCCCUCCACAAAACGCCGAUAAUACCCAGUCAGUCCUAGGAAUUCCCGCAACUCCUUAAGUGAUGUUGGGUGCAGCCAGUCUCUCAUGGCAACCACCUUCGUUUCAUCCGCCACCACUCCUUUGGCUGAAAUGAUGUGUCCCAAGUACUCAAUCUCUUUUUGGCCAAACGAGCACUUCUUCUUGUUGGCAAAGAGCUGAUUGUUCACUAGAAUCUGUAUUACCACCCUUAAAUGAUCCCUAUGCUCGACCUCUGUACGCCUAUAAACCAAUAUGUUGUCAAAAAAGACUAAGACAUAUUUCCCUGAGUUGAUUUUUGAAGACUGUAUUCAUUAGAGACUGAAAAGUGGCAAGGCAUUAGUUAACCCAAACGACAUGAUGGGGAACUCAUAAUGCCCUUUGUGUGUUUUCGAAAUGCAGUUUUAGGAAUAUCCUUAGCCUUCACCCUAAUCUGAUGGUACCCCGAGCUGAGGUCGAUUUUUGAAAAUGCAGUCGCUCCGUUUAAUUCAUCCAGUAAUCUGUCAAUAACAAGGAUAGAAAAUUUAUGCAAAACCGUUGCCUAGUUAAGAGCCUGAUAAUCAACACAAAAUCGCCAACUUCCAUAUUUCUUCCUUAGCAGAAGUACCAGAUUGGAAAAUGGAUUGGUGCUAUGCUGGAUAAUUCCCGCAGCCAACAUCUCUUGUACUAACUGUUUGAUUUCAUUCUUCUGGAAGUAGAGAUAUCGGUAUGGUUUCACAUUGAUUGGAAUAGCCCCGGACUUCAUAACAAUUGCAUGAUCGUGACUCCAUUCUGGGAGGUAGUUGGGUGAGCUCUUCAAAGACUACUGAGAAUUCUUCCAAAAUUUCUACGAUCAUUGUUGGUGAUUGAGAUGGAGAACAGUUGGUCUCAACAACAAUAUUUCCCAAUUCUAGUAACAUCCCUUCUCGUUGCUCCUGAAAGGCCUUCCACAUUGAUAUAAGCAAGACAAGAGUUUUACUGAGGCUUGUUUCUCCUUGCAACAAAACCUUAGUUCCUGAGAUGUUGAGAGUCAUAGUCAAUGUAUUCCAGUCUACUUGCAUUUUGCCUAGUUUCUGUAGCCACUACAUACCCAAUAUAACGUCUGAGCUUCCCAGCUCUAAGGGCAAAAAAUCUUCAACUACCAACAACCCAGGUAAAUUCAAGGCGACUCCCCUACAAACGCCUUCCCCUUUUAUAGUUAAGCCCGUACCCAUUAUCACCCCAUAGCUCAUGGUGCCCAAUAAUGGAAUACCUAGUUGCUAUACCAACUUGGUAGAUAUAAAGUUAUGGGAGGCUCCACUAUCGACCAAUACCACGACCUCUUUUGUGCCAAUCCUCCCGACAGCUUCAUGGUACUAGGACAAUGAGCCCAACCAUGGAAUUAAUUGACAAUUCCACUGGCUGAUCCAACCCAUGGGCUUCAUCCUCCUCGAAAACCACCUUACCUUCAACCUUAGUGUCGUCAGAGCUAAGCUCGCAGGUCCACCGUACCUCGCCCAUCAAGUCGUCCUCUUCUACUUCACGGACUACCAACACUUGCAACUCCUUGUUCUUACAUUAUGGCCAAUAGUAAACUUAUCAUUGCACUUAUAGCACAAACCCUUCUCCCUCUUGGCCUGAAUUUUAGCAUCAGUGAGCCUAUUAAAUGUCGUGGAAUUUUUGGGAAAAUAAUUAGGGUGUUGAGGUGGGUACAGAUUUACUGGAACGAUGUUUCUGGUUUGGGUUGAAGUGGGUUAUGGUGGGUUUGGGAUGUGGUAUGGGAUGCUUUUAGGCUUAGUUGGGCUUUCUGGGUAAUUAGAUUUCGAUCCUCAACCAUUUGGGCCACCUCUAUUAUUUGCUCUAAGCGUAAUAGACCAAGUAAAUGGACCUCAGCUCUGAUUUCUGGUUCCAAGC